UACGUAGGGGGCAAACGUCGUCCGGAUUUAUUGGGCGUAAAGAGCGUGUAGGCGGCCAUACAGGUCCGUUGUGAAAACUGGAGGCUUAACCUCCAGACGUCGAUGGAAACCGUAUGGCUAGAGUCCGGAAGAGGAGAGUGGAAUUCCUGGUGUAGCGGUGAAAUGCGCAGAUAUCAGGAAGAACACCCGUGGCGAAGGCGGCUCUCUGGGACGGUACUGACGCUGAGGCGCGAAAGCGUGGGGAGCGAACAGG
rnacentral:rRNA from 1 species